rnacentral:misc_RNA from 1 species
UCCCUGUUACCAGGGCAGUCUAGCUAGAAAAAUUCAACUAACUAUAAGGGUUGCGCUCGUUGAAGGACUUAACCUAACAUCUCACGACACGAGCUGACGACGGCCAUGCAGCACCUGUCACUGCGGCCCGAAGGCACAUUUUCCUUUCGGAAAACUUGGCAGGAUUUCAAACCUGGGUAAGGUUCUUCGUUUAGUAUCGAAUUAAACAACACGCUCCACCGCUUGUGCGGGUCCCCGUCAAUUCCUUUAUGUUUUAGUCUUGCGACCGUACUCCACAGGCGGGAUGCUUAACGCGUUAGCUUCGCUACUACCAGGGUCGAUACUGAUAACAGCUAGCAUCCAUAGUUUACGGCGUGGACUAC